rnacentral:rRNA from 1 species
GACGAACGCUGGCGGCGUGCCUAAUACAUGCAAGUUGAGCGAUGAAGAUUGGUGCUUGCACCAAUUUGAAGAGCAGCGAACGGGUGAGUAACGCGUGGGGAAUCUGCCUUUGAGCGGGGGACAACAUUUGGAAACGAAUGCUAAUACCGCAUAACAACUUUAAACAUAAGUUUUAAGUUUGAAAGAUGCAAUUGCAUCACUCAAAGAUGAUCCCGCGUUGUAUUAGCUAGUUGGUGAGGUAAAGGCUCACCAAGGCGAUGAUACAUAGCCGACCUGAGAGGGUGAUCUGCCACAUUGGGACUGGGACACGGCCCAAACUCCUACGGGAGGCAGCAGUAGGGAAUCUUCGGCAAUGGACGAAAGUCUGGCCGAGCAACGCCGCGUGAGUGAAGAAGGUUUUCGGAUCGUAAAACUCUGUUGGUAGAGAAGAACGUUGGUGAGAGUGGAAAGCUCAUCAAGUGACGGUAACUACCCAGAAAGGGACGGCUAACUACGUG